CUCAAUGUCUAGAACAGUGCCUGGCAUAUAGUAGACACUUAAUACCUUUUGAAUGACCAUGUGCUUCCUGAGAAAGAUGCAGCUCCAUUUCCCGGUGGUUCUGGGAUGGCUGGGUCAGAGAAAGAAUAGUGCAGAUGGGAGCAGGUGGCCGUGGCCACAGCUGCCAGGAGUGUUCAAUUAUAUCUGGCCAACAGAGGGUCUAGCUCUGUCCCCAAACCUCUGUGGCCACUUCAGCCCUGGCCAGGAACUCACCCAACUUGUGGUUCACGUUGCCCACCUGCAGGGAGAGCAGCUGAGUAAGGUCAGAGCCUGGGUUCUCUUCCUAGCUUGUUCCUGGAACCAGGGACAUCCAUAUAUUCCCUGCUUUAGAACGCUCAGCUUCCAGUCCAGCUGAGAAUGGGGUGAGGGCCAGGAGGGAGACUCUGCUCAGCACUGGAGCUGGAACUGGGGAUAAAGGUGGGGAUGAGGCAGGAACGCAGUGGGGCUUGGCACGGCCAGUGGCGAAGAAAGAAGACAGAGAAGGCCAUAGAGGUGGAAGGACUGAAAUAACGACUGGACGGUGAAAAAGAGGCAAAAAAGAGAAAAAUAGAGACAAACUGAAAGACGGAAGGUGGGAAACACAUGCACAUAGAAAGAGAGGUGGACAGAGAAAGAGGGCGUGCGGUAAUGGGGAGAAAACGGGUCCCUCCAACAUCUCUUCCGCGUAGCGUCUGUCCCAGUCUUCGGCAGCGCUUUCCUGCGACCGCAGACUGGCAAGCCAAAAAAAACUACACUUCCCAGAAUACCUUGUGGUUGGCCGUUCCGGAAGUAGGUUUAGGGUCCACCAAUCAGAUGCCUCCGCGGGAAGCUUGAAUUUCUAACUAAAGUCUGCGGGGAGGGAGGUAGCCGCGAGGCCGCCGCCCCUGCCUCCACCGGUUCCCAGGGCUGGUGCCCUUGCGGAGCCCAGCGGCUGGCUUCCUGAUCUUGCAGGAGGACCAGCAGUUCCUGGGCGGCUAUUUCUGGAGGGUAGAUUUGGAAGUGCCUUGAAGGCUCAGCCUGGAGAGUUUCUUCAUACAGGCUCUGUGUCCCCUAAUAAGUUUACACUGGCCGGAGUGGAUUCUGUUCGCUGCCACUCAGCGAUAAUGGGUACACAGGGAGAAGGAGAUGCGGAGGCGGGCGGAAACAGAAAGUGAUUCAGAGAGGUUGCCGGAUAAAAUCCAGGAUGCCCAGCUACCUUUGGAUUUUAGAUAAGCAACAGCUAAUAUUUAGUUUGGAGGGGUCUCUACAAGUGACCACUGUGUGCUGAGCAUCUCUUCUGUGUCAGGUACUGAUGGGGUGAUGCGCUCGUGGAAUCCUUCUGGAAUAUUCCAGAAGGAAGACCCCCGGGCCACGACCCACCAAAGAGGGGUGCGAGUGGAGAAGGAGUGUCAGUGACUGGCCAUGGCCCAGUACAGGAAGUGCAUGCUCCAUCCCAGUGACGUCACGGGAAAUACCCUGGAGAUCCCACAGGAAGUACUUGCCCCCACGAUAUCCCUGAAGUAGCCUUCAAGGAAGGCUCACUGAGACAUCAUAGGAAGUACCUGUCUCUUCUAUCAUCACAGGAAGUGACCUCUGGGGAACUUCUUCCUGUGACAUCAUAAGGAGUGCCAGAAGCACCCCAGAAAGUACUUGACUCAGUGACAUCCCAACAGAGACCUUCAUUCCCAUCACUCUAAGUAAAACCACCGAAGAUGCCACCGGAAGUUGUUCCAGCCCGUCGCAAGAGUCAUGCCCACAGGACUGGACCAAUCCCAGAGCCGGCCUCAUUCCCAGCAGGCACUGCACACCGCUCCCCCACCAUAACAACCUGACAACAGAACAGUGAACAGUCCCACCUAGAAGGGGCAAUUCCAAGAGGGGUAGAGCGCUGAGAAGAUCUGGGAACUCUGGGGUCCCUGCUCCGAAUACCCCAUUUCAGCUCAGAUUCCUCGGCUACCUCUACUCCCAUCCCUUCCUUCAGAUCUGGAACCGAAAGCAGGAGAGGUGGGGUGUUGUUUUGGGGAGGCCCCUCAUUCUAGGUGGCCCAGAGGCUCCCUCCCCUCCUCCCAUAUGGAAACAAAAACUUCUAAAGGUGAGGGGGGGGGGGUG